UACGUAGGGUGCAAGCGUUAAUCGGAAUUACUGGGCGUAAAGCGUGCGCAGGCGGCUUUGCAAGACAGUUGUGAAAUCCCCGGGCUCAACCUGGGAACUGCAUCUGUGACUGCAUUGCUGGAGUGCGGCAGAGGGGGAUGGAAUUCCGCGUGUAGCAGUGAAAUGCGUAGAUAUGCGGAGGAACACCGAUGGCGAAGGCAAUCCCCUGGGCCUGCACUGACGCUCAUGCACGAAAGCGUGGGGAGCAAACAGG
rnacentral:rRNA from 1 species